GCCCUAAGGGCCGGACCUUACCCACGCCCAACCUCCUACCAAAACAUCUGCAGGACCAAGGCCAUGUGUGUGGAUGAGGCUGGACCUCUUUCCAACAGGCAGGAGGUGACACACCUGAUGUACACAGUGGUGCUCAGAAACACACCUCAGAAUGGGGAACCUCGAACCCUUACCUGGGUCUUGGUUCUGGUCCUGCUGCUCCAGAUAGCACCCAAGACAGAGGCAGGACCACGCCUCUGCUCCUUCUCUGCUCUGGACCUAGGGUUUCCACCAGUGGAGUCCUUGGCCUUGAGAUGUCCGCCCCUCCGUGCCCAGGGAAUGAGCUCCAGAUCCAUGCCCAGAGAACCUCUGUGCCCCAGGAUCCCGGCUCAGCAGCCCCAGUCUGGCUCCCCCUUUCGCCCCUGACUGGCCUCUGGAUGCACCAUGGUUUGAGCACAGGGUCGGCAGCCACCGUGAAAUCCCCUCUUCCUUCAGCAGAUAACUUGCCAGUUGUUCCAGGUGCUUGACCAGAUCCCUACUUCUACAACAUUCCACGUAGAUUCAUCUGAGUUAUUCUGCAUCUUGAGCAGAAGAGGGACAUGAACUGAAACCUACUUUAAUGGGGUCGCCCCGACUGCAGCGCCCAGGAAGCCUGCACAGGGUGGGGUGGGCAAGGAGGCCAACAGGGGGACGCAGCGCAGGGUAGUGACGGUCUGGGUGGGAAGCUGGUUCUGGGCACCCGGGAAGCAGCAGGUUUGCUGAGGGUGGCACAGUGCACGCUGGGCAGCAGCCCAGAGCCCACCGCCUCCAUCUCACAACUGAGUGGACACUGACGAUGACUCCGCACACAUCACUGAGGUCACAGAAGCCCACAGGGUGUCGCCACUGUGGUUCCCUGGAAAUCUCAGAAUUGAAACUGCCAACUCUGCAGGAGGGGACAUUUUCGAGAGAAGAUCUGGCCUUAUUUUGGCUUCUGGAA